rnacentral:misc_RNA from 1 species
GAUGAAGAACGCAGCGAAAUGCGAUACGUAAUGUGAAUUGCAGAAUUCAGUGAAUCAUCGAAUCUUUGAACGCAUAUUGCGCUCUCUGGUAUUCCGGAGAGCAUGCUUGUUUGAGUAUCAGUAAACACCUCAACUUCCAUAUCUUUUUUGAAAUGGGAGUUGGACUUGAGUGAUCCCAACGCUUUUCCUCACCGAAAAGUGGCGGGUUACUUGAAAUGCAGGUGCAGCUGGACUUUUCUCUGAGCUAUAAGCAUAUCUAUUUAGUCUGCCUAAAAAACAGAUUAUUACCUUUGCUGCAGCUAACAUAAAGGAGAUUAGUUCUUGUGCUGACUGAUGCAGGAUUCACAAAGACAGGCUUCGGCCGACUUUGUAAACUCGAUCUCAAAUCAAGUAAGACUACCCGCUGAACUUAAGCAUAUCAAUAAGCGGAAGA